UGAAAAAUGGCCAGGAAUGUAACUGUUGGGGUAUGAUUGUUGCAUGUUUAAAUUUUAAAGGAAACUGCCUAAUUGAUACUGUUCUUGCCAAGCCCUCAAAACCAGAAGCUGUGGCCUCAGAGACAGAGAUCAUCAAAAGAGAAACAAAGGAGGCAGGAAGAAAUGCUACAUUUUCUCCCUCAGGCAACAGAGGGAGGAGGAGCCACCAGAGGAGGUGGUGAAGGCCAAGAGAGCUGGACUUUUUACAGCAGGAGCUUCCUAACCGGGCUGAGGAACUCUGGAAAGCAACAGACCCACAGGCUGGACCACUGGGAAUCAGAACAGGUAAACUAGUGGAGUGCUGGAAGGGCUCUGGAUCUCUUUCCGGCUUGGUAUUCAGUGACAUCAGGCUGGUAACUUAAAAUCAGCUACAGUGAGAGUACUGACAACAUAAAAAUCAGCAAAUGCUGCAAAUCAGGACUCUCUUUUCCAUGGAGAAUCGAUUGUUAAACAUUUACAUGAGACAAACCAUAUAAACCUUCCAGGGAAUAAUCCAGGAACCAUCAGAAUCCUGGCAGAAAUUCAAAGUUAUACAAACACCCUCCCCAAUGGCUUCUCCUCACUGACCCCACCCACCACAGUGCCGGAGGACUCCCACCAAGCCCACCUCCCCAAGCCCUGCU
rnacentral:lncRNA from 1 species